AAGAGACAGCAGCAGCCACGGUAAUACGUAGGGUGCGAGCGUUAAUCGGAAUUACUGGGCGUAAAGCGUGCGCAGGCGGUUGUGUAAGACAGGUGUGAAAUCCCCGGGCUUAACCUGGGAACUGCGCUUGUGACUGCACAGCUAGAGUAUGGCAGAGGGGGGUGGAAUUCCACGUGUAGCAGUGAAAUGCGUAGAGAUGUGGAGGAAUACCGAUGGCGAAGGCAGCCCCCUGGGCCAAUACUGACGCUCAUGCACGAAAGCGUGGGGAGCAAACAGGAUUAGAUACCCCCGUAGUCCCUGUCUCUUAUAC
rnacentral:rRNA from 1 species